rnacentral:rRNA from 1 species
UUUCAUUGCUGUUUUACCCUAAAGAUACCAAAUUUUCUCUGAUCUUGGAAAUUACAUAGAGUCAGCCCAUGUUUGUACUUGGGUGGGAGACCACCAAUGAAUCCCAGGUGCUAUAGGCU